UGGUGGAGCGAUUUGUCUGGUUAAUUCCGAUAACGAACGAGACCCCGUCCUACUCACUAGACUGAGGAUUCAUUUUUUGUCCUCACCGUCUUCUUAGAGGGACAACUGGAAUCGAUCUAGCUACAUGAAAUGGGGCAAUAACA
rnacentral:rRNA from 1 species